rnacentral:rRNA from 1 species
GACGAACGCCGGCGGCGUGCCUAAUACAUGCAAGUCGAGCGGAAGUUGGAGAGCUUGCUCUUCAACUUUAGCGGCGGACGGGUGAGUAACACGUGGGCAACCUGCCCUGCAGAUCGGGAUAACUCCGGGAAACCGGUGCUAAUACCGAAUAGUUUUCGCCACCUCCUGGUGGCGUACGGAAAGACGGUUUCGGCUGUCACUGCAGGAUGGGCCCGCGGCGCAUUAGCUAGUUGGUGGGGUAACGGCCCACCAAGGCGACGAUGCGUAGCCGACCUGAGAGGGUGAUCGGCCACACUGGGACUGGGACACGGCCAAGACUCCUACGGGAGGCAGCAGUAGGGAGUCGUCCGAAAUGGACGAAAGUCUGACGGAGCAACGCCGCGUGAGUGACGAAGGUUUUCGGAUCGUAAAACUCUGUUGUGAGGGAAGAACAGGUACCAACUAACUACUGGUACCUUGACGGUACCUCACCAGAAAGCCACGGCUAACUACGUGCCAGCCGCCGCCGUAAAAC